GCAAAAACAUAUUUAAACUAAAAUUGCAUUUCAGCUCUCCUAAACAACACAUCAUUUGUGGAUUCGUUCAUGGCAGAUUACUGUUUGUGGUUUAUUCAAAAUGUAAGCAAUAUUAAUUAAUAACAGAAAACUGAAACUUUCCAAAUCAAUGCGAACGCAAUGGGUUUGUCGUUUUAUUCGGGAUUCCUGAUAAAUGGGUCCUUAAAGCCUCUUAUUUCAGGCCUGAUGAAGGACUCCGGCAGUUUGCCGGCAGGAUUUGUAAUUACAGUGGUUUAGCUCAGCAAAUAUUCUCUCCCAAGCCAAUCAAUAGAGAAAUCAGCAGCUAAACUGGCUGUUAACCCAGUGCUUUACAAAGAUCUCCUCCUCUGGGCCUUCAUUUGCUGUUAACGUGGCCAAACAGUAUCGAUUUUGAUGACUGUGUUAAUAAACACCUUCAAUUUUUAAUCCUGCUUUAAAGGAACACUCAACACAGAUGUAAUGAGCGGCUGAAAUAUGGCGGUGCAAACGCAGUGAUUUAUUGACUCGUUGACAGCAUUAGUCUUCUCUAACAUGUAAUGGACUUCUGAUCGUUCUGUUCCGAAGAAGGGGAAAUUACAUUUGGGGAAUGGAAAUGCUGUAACACGGACUGAUCUGCAUAAUGAUCUUUAAACCGGGACGCCCAUCGCCGCUCACACAGAGAAAAGCCAUGUUUAUGUGUUUGUUUGCAGAUGUGUUUUCUGUCCUGUUUGUUCUCGGCUCGUCUUCAGGGAUUCGCUGCAGAAACAUCAUGCACAUGUGUCUGCGAAUGCGAGCAGAGCGGAUUGAAAUGAGGCGUUUCAGUGUCAUUGGAAGGUGUUUUUUUUUUGUUUUUUUUAUUCCUGUGUCCCUGAAGUGACGUCAUGUUGAUUCUGUUACAGACCAUGGAUUCAACUAAAAAUCUUCUUUACUGUUCUACUGAAGACAAAAAUUCAUCUACAUCUUGGAUGUCCUGACAUCGGUCAAUCUAUCAGGACUUCAUUGAGUCCCGUGAUCCUGAGGGUCCAGAUACAUGCGCGUCUCCCAGGCUUGUGUAGGGAAAAGCCGGGCCUUGUUUUCCAAAGGCUUUGACAAUCCGGCAGUCAGGCUUCAGUGGGCAGCGUUUGCUCCGUGACAGCCAGUAUUGUUCCCAGAGUGACGGGGUCCAGAGCCGCCCGGAGCGACAAACACCGCGGAUGAAAUGCAUUCGAGAUUUCAUUCCCGCUCUUCAAAUGCUGUAAGUCUGAUUCAAUAAUGAGUUUACAUAUGGCAGGACGUGAGGAGGAAGCCGUCCAAACAAGAUCAGGCCUCCGCCGGACUACACUCUGUAUGAAAUUGUUUGUUCAUUCCUUGCCAAUUAUCAUUUUCUCCUCAGAAUAACUAACUGCGGCCUCUUUUUUAUCUUUGUGUUGAUGCAUAGCAGGGGAAGUAGGGCCGGCUGGAGAUCUGGCUCAGGUCAGAGAUGACUUUCACUUCUCUAAUUGGAUUUGCUGCUGCCAGUGUCGAGCUCACAGGGCUGGACGGACGCCAGUCCACUGCAUCUGGGUUCGGUCCUUCAAGCUUCAGCGCUUCACUGAUUCUCAUUCAUUACGCUGGCGUGUGAAGGCGUAACUCGGAAUAGGGAGAUUGGAGGCAAAGCACAGAGUAACUUCCAACUGGAAAUGCAGGCCAUGUGUAAUCCACAAACUGUUGAAUCAUCCCAGCAUAUGAUGGAAUAACCGCAGAGCCUUGAUGUCUGCUGUCUUUCUCACUCUUUGAGCGUUAUCAUAGGCAGCAGCUCCACAUGAAGCACAGAGGAGAUCGACUCACAACUGAAUCCAGCAGAGCUUGACGUUAUCAUGUUGCUAAGCAAUACUCUAAUGUGGUGAAAAACAUCACACAAAUAUUGAGUA